rnacentral:rRNA from 1 species
UACGUAGGGGGCAAGCGUUGUCCGGAUUCAUUGGGCGUAAAGAGCGUGUAGGCGGCCAGGUAGGUCGGUUGUGAAAACUGGAGGCUCAACCUUCAGACGUCGACCGAAACCAUCUGGCUAGAGUCCGGGAGAGGAGAGUGGAAUUCCUGGUGUAGCGGUGAAAUGCGCAGAUAUCAGGAGGAACACCGGUGGCGAAGGCGGUUCUCUGGGCAUGUCCUGACGCUGAGGAGCGAAAGUGUGGGGGAGCGAACAGG